AACGCUAGCUACAGGCUUAACACAUGCAAGUCGAGGGCAUCAGGAAGAAAGCUUGCUUUCUUUGCUGGCGACCGGCGCACGGGUGAGUAACACGUAUCCAACCUGCCCUUUACUCGGGGAUAGCCUUUCGAAAGAAAGAUUAAUACCCGAUAGCAUAAUGAUUCCGCAUGGUUUCAUUAUUAAAGGAUUCCGGUAAAGGAUGGGGAUGCGUUCCAUUAGGUUGUUGGUGAGGUAACGGCUCACCAAGCCUUCGAUGGAUAGGGGUUCUGAGAGGAAGGUCCCCCACAUUGGAACUGAGACACGGUCCAAACUCCUACGGGAGGCAGCAGUGAGGAAUAUUGGUCAAUGGGCGCUAGCCUGAACCAGCCAAGUAGCGUGAAGGAUGAAGGCUCUAUGGGUCGUAAACUUCUUUUAUAUAAGAAUAAAGUGCAGUAUGUAUACUGUUUUGUAUGUAUUAUAUGAAUAAGGAUCGGCUAACUCCGUGCCAGCAGCCGCGGUAAUACGGAGGAUCCGAGCGUUAUCCGGAUUUAUUGGGUUUAAAGGGAGCGUAGGUGGACUGGUAAGUCAGUUGUGAAAGUUUGCGGCUCAACCGUAAAAUUGCAGUUGAUACUGUCAGUCUUGAGUACAGUAGAGGUGGGCGGAAUUCGUGGUGUAGCGGUGAAAUGCUUAGAUAUCACGAAGAACUCCGAUUG
rnacentral:rRNA from 1 species